GCCCUGAUGGUGAAAUGGUAUACACACCACUUUGAGGGGGUGGCGCUUAAGUUAAAGCAUAUCGGUUCGAAUCCGAUUCAGGGUA
rnacentral:tRNA from 1 species